UACGGGGGGGGCAAGCGUUGUUCGGAAUUACUGGGCGUAAAGGGCGCGUAGGCGGCAGGCCAAGUCGGGAGUGAAAGCCCGGGGCUCAACCCCGGAAUGUCUUUCGAAACUGGCCAGCUGGAGUGCGGAAGAGGCAACUGGAAUUCCCAGUGUAGCGGUGAAAUGCGUAGAUAUUGGGAAGAACACCUGAGGCGAAGGCGGGUUGCUGGGCCGACACUGACGCUGAGGCGCGAAAGCCAGGGGAGCAAACGGG
rnacentral:rRNA from 1 species